rnacentral:tRNA from 1 species
UAGAGUAGAGCUAAAUUUAGUUUCUUAUUUACAUUAAGAAGGGUUAUUACUCUAU